rnacentral:rRNA from 1 species
UACGUAGGGUGCGAGCGUUUGUCCGGAAUUAUUGGGCGUAAAGGGCUCGUAGGCGGUUUGUCGCGUCGGGAGUGAAAACCUUGGGCUUAACUCAGGGCUUGCUUUCGAUACGGGCAGACUAGAGGUAUGCAGGGGAGAACGGAAUUCAUGGUGUAGCAGUGAAAUGCGUAGAGAUCAUGAGGAAGACCAGUGGCGAAGGCGGGUCUCUGGACAGUUCCUGACACUGAGACACGAAGGCCAGGGGAGCAAACGGG